GCUCUGGGACACUUUAUAGUCCUGACAGUUGAAGACUGGAGGACUGACAGCUGUCCUUCAUGACAACACAAGACACAGAAAUCAUGACUUUCACCUCCAUCCUCAUCUGGACUCUCCUCUGCUGCUGCCUCACAGAGUCCAGAGGACAGGUCACAGUGACUCAGUCUGGAGCAGUGACAUCUGCUCUGGGAGGAUCUGCCACCAUCACAUGUAGAACCAGUCAGAAUGUUUAUUAUCAUAGUAGCUACGGCCACUACCAAUACUGGUACCAACAGAGAGAUGGAGAAACUCCUAAACUCCUUAUUUACCGUGCUUCCAAUCGAGCAUCAGGGAUUCCAGGUCGUUUUACAGGCAGUGGAUCAAAUUCUGACUUCACUCUGACCAUCAGUGGAGUCCAGGCUGAAGAUGCUGCAGUUUACUACUGUCAGAGUUUUCACGUCAUCAACAGUCAAUAUGUGUUCACACAGUGA